rnacentral:rRNA from 1 species
AAAAACUCCGGUGGUAUACGAUGGAUCCGCGUCUGAUUAGCCAGUUGGCGGGGUAACGGCCCACCAAAGCGACGAUCAGUAGCCGGCCUGAGAGGGUGAACGGCCACAUUGGGACUGAGACACGGCCCAAACUCCUACGGGAGGCAGCAGUGGGGAAUAUUGCACAAUGGGGGAAACCCUGAUGCAGCGACGCCGCGUGAGUGAAGAAGUAUUUCGGUACGUAAAGCUCUAUCAGCAGGGAAGAAAAAAAGUCCUUUGGACUUUGGACGGUACCUGACCAAGAAGCCCCGGCUAACUACGUGCCAGCAGCCGCGGUAAUACGUAGGGGGCAAGCGUUAUCCGGAUUUACUGGGUGUAAAGGGAGCGUAGACGGCAGCGCAAGUCUGGAGUGAAAUGCCGGGGCCCAACCCCGGAACUGCUUUGGAAACUGUGCAGCUCGAGUGCAGGAGAGGUAAGCGGAAUUCCUAGUGUAGCGGUGAAGUGCGUAGAUAUUAGGAGGAACACCAGUGGCGAAGGCGGCUUACUGGACUGUAACUGACGUUGAGGCUCGAAAGCGUGGGGAGCAAACAGGAUUAGAUACCCUGGUAGUCCACGCCGUAAACGAUGAUUACUAGGUGUCGGGGGGCCAAGGCCCUUCG